rnacentral:lncRNA from 1 species
UUUAACUUCAUUUUUCUUGGAAUAGAAAACCAGUGGCGUCAUGGCUACCCCGUUUCGACGACGUUCACCGGAACAAUGAUGGAUUAUCAAAAUCCAGUCAGAUUUGGCUUCCCAUAAUACGGAAGUACGGCUGGAGUUUGCCGGCGGGAAAAGAAGAAGAGGGGACAGCGGCGAUGCUGGCGACAGGAGGGAGUUUUAAUGGCUGGUCUGAGGUUUUCGGGCGAGUUGAUUCGCCGGAAUUGACGUGAAAAGGGUCUGUUUUUUCAUUGCUUUCCAAUGAAUUUUGUGUUGAGGUUGCGAUUCCAGCGAAAGAAAAGGCCCGUUCCAGCGAGUAAAGAGGGCUCCGGUUAGAAUCUGAUGGUUUUGGCCGUUUAGUCACCGAAAAAAAUGGUGAUUCCGACGAACAUAUCACUGGAAAAGCAAUCCCCUAUUCUGUUCCCUCUUUCCAUUUUCUCUCUCUAUCUUGCCAUUUUUAUCUGUUUAUCCUCUUUCUUACUGCUCUUUGUAAUAUUUUUUUCAUCUGUUUCGAUCUCUAUCUCACUUCUCUUCUGAUUUUUUUACUCUUUUCAGUGUGUGCGUGCUACUAUGUGUGUGAGAAUAUGUGAAUAUGUGUGUGUUGUAUAUUGUUG